rnacentral:rRNA from 1 species
CGUCAAGUCCUCAUGGCCCUUAUGGGUAGGGCUUCACACGUAAUACAAUGGCCGGUACAGAGGGCUGCCAACCCGCGAGGGGGAGCAAAUCCCAGAAAGCCGGUCGUAGUCCGGAUUGUUCUCUGCAACUCGAGAGCAUGAAGUCGGAAUCGCUAGUAAUCGCGGAUCAGCAUGCCGCGGUGAAUACGUUCCCGGGUCUU